rnacentral:rRNA from 1 species
UACGUAGGUGACCAGCGUUGUCCGGAUUUACUGGGCGUAAAGAGCGCGCAGGCGGUCGGAUAAGUCGAAUGUGAAAGCCCCCGGCUCAACUGGGGAGGGUCAUUCGAUACUGUUCGACUCGAAGGCAGGAGAGGGAAGUGGAAUUCCCGGUGUAGUGGUGAAAUGCGUAGAUAUCGGGAGGAACACCAGUGGCGAAGGCGACUUCCUGGCCUGUUCUUGACGCUGAGGAGCGAAAGCUAGGGGAGCAAACGGG